rnacentral:rRNA from 1 species
AGAGUUUGAUCAUGGCUCCCAUCGAACGCUGGCGGCGUGGUUUAGGCAUGCAAGUCGAGCGAGAAAGCGGGCUUCGGUCCGCGAGUACAGCGGCGAAAGGGUGAGUAAUGUAUAGGUAAUCAUCCCUCGACUCCGGUAUAGCGUCUGGAAACGGGCGGUAAUCCCGGAUGGCCCCGAUAGCGGGAAUCCGCAGUCGGGUAAAGGUGGGGACCUUCGGGCCUGCCGGUUGGGGACGAGCCUAUAUCCCAUCAGCUAGUUGGUGAGGUAACGGCCCACCAAGGCUGUGACGGGUAGCCGGACUGAGAGGUUGACCGGCCACACUGGGACUGAGACACUGCCCAGACUCCUACGGGAGGCUGCAGUCGAGAAUCUUCCGCAAUGGGCGAAAGCCUGACGGAGCGACGCCGCGUGGAGGAUGAAGGCCUUCGGUUUGUAAACUCCUGUCACGGAUUAUGAAUGGCGCCGUGUUAACACCACGGCGCUUGACAAAGGUCCGAGAGGAAGCCACGGCUAACUCCGUGCCAGCAGCCGCGGUAAGACGGAGGUGGCAAGCGUUGCUCGGAAUCACUGGGCAUAAAGGGCGCCUAGGCGGUGCGGCAAGUCGACUGUGAAAUCCCUCGGCUCAACCGAGGAAGUGCAGCCGAAACUGCCGCGCUGGAGGACGAGAGAGGAGAGUGGAACUCCUGGUGGAGCGGUGAAAUGCGUAGAUAUCAGGAGGAACGCCGGUGGCGAAAGCGACUCUCUGGCUCGUUCCUGACGCUGACGCGCGAAAGCUAGGGGAGCGAACGGGAUUAGAUACCCCGGUAGUCCUAGCCGUAAACGAUGGGCACUAAGUAGUGGCGUUUUCGAUGACGUCACUGCCGUAGCAAACGUGUUAAGUGCCCCGCCUGGGGAGUAUGAUCGCAAGGUUGAAACUUAAAUGAAUUGACGG